rnacentral:rRNA from 1 species
GUUGCUCCGAUGCUCUAGAUUACGCGAAGACCUUACCAAGGCUUGACAUAUAGAGGAAAAGUGCAGAAAUGCACUCCCCGCAAGGUCUCUAUACAGGUGGUGCAUGGUUGUCGUCAGCUCGUGUCGUGAGAUGUUGGGUUAAGUCCCGCAACGAGCGCAACCCUCGUCCUAUGUUGCCAGCACGUUAUGGUGGGAACUCAUGGGAUACUGCCGGGGUCAACUCGGAGGAAGGUGGGGAUGACGUCAAAUCAUCAUGCCCCUUAUGUCUUGGGCUUCACGCAUGCUACAAUGGCCGGUACAGAGGGCUGCAAUACCGCAAGGUGGAGCGAAUCCCAAAAAGCCGGUCUCAGUUCGGAUUGAGGUCUGCAACUCGACCUCAUGAAGUCGGAGUCGCUAGUAAUCGUAGAUCAGCAACGCUACGGUGAAUACGUUCCCGGGUCUUGUA